rnacentral:rRNA from 1 species
ACGGGUCCUUCGGGAUGCCGACGAGUGGCGAACGGGUGAGUAAUACAUCGGAACGUGCCCAGUCGUGGGGGAUAACUACUCGAAAGAGUAGCUAAUACCGCAUACGAUCUGAGGAUGAAAGCGGGGGACCUUCGGGCCUCGCGCGAUUGGAGCGGCCGAUGGCAGAUUAGGUAGUUGGUGGGAUAAAAGCUUACCAAGCCGACGAUCUGUAGCUGGUCUGAGAGGACGACCAGCCACACUGGAACUGAGACACGGUCCAGACUCCUACGGGAGGCAGCAGUGGGGAAUCUUGCGCAAUGGGCGAAAGCCUGACGCAGCCAUGCCGCGUGGAUGAUGAAGGUCUUAGGAUUGUAAAAUCCUUUCACCGGGGACGAUAAUGACGGUACCCGGAGAAGAAGCCCCGGCUAACUUCGUGCCAGCAGCCGCGGUAAU